GAUGAACGCUGGCGGCGUGCCUAGUACAUGCAAGUCGAGCGAACGGACGAGAAUCUUGCUUCUCUGAUGUUAGCGGCGGACGUGUGAGUAACACGUGGAUAACCUACCUAUAAGACUGGGAUAACUUCGGGAAACCGGAGCUAAUACCGGAUGAUAUUUUGAACCGCAUGGUUCAAAAGUGAAAGACGGUCUUGCUGUCACUUAUCGAUGGAUCCGCGCUGCAUUAGCUAGUUGGUAAGGUAACGGCUUACCAAGGCAACGAUGCAUAGCCGACCUGAGAGGGGGAUAGGCCACACUGGAACUGAGACACGGUCAAGACGCCUACGGGAGGGAGCAGUAGGGAAUCGUAGGCAAUGGGGGAAAGCAUGACGGAGCAAGGCCGCGUGAGUGAUGAAGGUGUUCGGAUCGUAAAAAUCGGUUAUUAGGGAAGAACAUAUGUGUAAGUAACUGUGCACAGCGUGACGGUACCUAAUCAGAAAGCCACGGCUAACUACGUG
rnacentral:rRNA from 1 species